UACGUAGGGUGCAAGCGUUAUCCGGAAUUAUUGGGCGUAAAGAGCUCGUAGGCGGUUUGUCGCGUCUGCUGUGAAAACUGGAGGCUCAACCUCCAGCUUGCAGUGGGUACGGGCAAACUAGAGUGCGGUAGGGGAGAUUGGAAUUCCUGGUGUAGCGGUGGAAUGCGCAGAUAUCAGGAAGAACACCGGUGGCGAAGGCGGCUAUCUGGCCUGUUCUUGACGCUGAGGAGCGAAAGUGUGGGGAGCGAACAGG
rnacentral:rRNA from 1 species